CUGUUUCAGGACCCUGCUCUGGUCAUAGGGACAGUUCUUUAUAAUGUGGCCCAGUUCCAGGCACAGGUGACCCAACCCAAUCAGCCACUGGCAACAUUUUUACAUUAAGCAGCUUGGAUCUGCUGCCAUCCAGACCCCGACGGAUAAUGUCUUCUAUCCACUCAGGUUCCAUCCUAGGUGGCAACCCGCAGACCCAAGCUCUUGUCAACUUCUUCCCACGAUACGUGGGAAGAAACAAAAUCUCUUUGCCCUCUAAGGGCUGGCUUGCAAAUUUGCGAGCCUCCUUAGGGGUGUCAAAUAGCAACCACACCGUUGCAUACUUGACCCCACUGGAAAUAAAUUUUAUGGUUACUCAAUCCUGGUGUUUAUACUAUAUGGUCCUUGAACCCUAUCUGAAAGUUUUGGUUUUCUUCCAGAAUUUUGUUUCAACGAGGAGGUUCUUCCCUCUUUCUCAAAGGCUGUCAUUACUUUUGAGACAGUACUUCUUGAUACACCAAACAUUUCAGCUGUUUACGUUACGCUAGUGCCUGCCGUACGAGCACCAACGAUUUGACCUCUUUGAAAGUCUGGUAGAUCUGUCAUUUUUAAUGAAUUUUAAUUACCUUUUUCUGGUAAUAUCUGAAAAGAAACAGCAAAUUUAGCAAAACAUAUUAAGCAAUACUAAUGAUAAAUAAAUAAAAAAAUGCAAAAAUAAACACGCUUUUGACGGUUUUAUAGAUAUUUCAGAAUUAUGAUGCGUAGCAUCUCUUGUGUGCACCUUACCUCAUGUGUGCAGCAUACAUCAACGUCUCCUUUCAAGCAUCUCUACAAUCUCACUAGACCUACCUUUCAGUGUGCCUACAUUGACUGUGCCAAUUCUGGAAACUGAGAAAGGAAUGUGGGGUGAGGCUUGGGGAGGAGAGAUGUUAUUCAGUGCCUGAAAAGAAGAGGGAGGUUGUAUUCAUUUUUUAGGCAUGCUUCAUCUGUUCUCACUUCCGACCUGUCUAUAGAAAUCCUUUAACAGCAUUGUAAUGGUUAAAAUUUACUCAGGUUAAGAGGGUAAGACAAGGUAGACAAACACUAAAAGUAAUUUCACAGCAUAGACAUGAUACUGCGGUAGAUCACAUGCUAAAGUAGCAUCGAUUAUCGUCAUUGAUAAAUGAUUAGAGACAGUUUUAAAUACCCGGUGCAGCCUUCGAUUUCCAAAAAUGUUUUAAAAAAUGACUUGCCUAUAAUUUUUUUUUUUUUUCUUUCGAACAUCAGUGUUGUAAUAUUUAGCUAUGAAAACAAGUUGCUUGCAGGUAAAGAACUUUGUUGGGUUUAGUUUUGACAGCAAAUUAUUCCAAACAUGUGGACUAAUCACAUUAGAAACGGUGCAUAUUUCUUUAGUUCUCAUGCAUUUCAUGUCUUUGGUAGCUUUUGAAUCAGGACAUACAUUAGAUAAUGAAACUAGGCUGAAACACUAAUGGCAUGGGUGUACUCAGCCAUGACUCUACUUGAUUUUAGCUCAGCUGAUGCUUUUUUUGUUGUGUCAAACAUUGACCAACUUUAACAAACUAGGUUGCUUUAGCCGAUUUUCAACUAUGACAAAAGUUUCCUUUCAUAGGAAGUAGAUUUCAAUUUAUUUUUCUGGGAAUUGUCAUUUUGUCCCUAUUUGAGUAAUGUUCUUUCCCAUGCUUUUAUGCAAAAAUAAAUGUUCAGGUAUAGAACAAUGGCACUACUGUGACUCACAGCUCCUUGCAUUGAACAAAAACGGUAAUGAAAUAACAAUUCUUCAGUGCAGUAUUGAAGAUGACUCGCAUGCAUCAUGGCAGGACUGCUUCGUUUUCUCUUUCAUUGUAUGAUAAGAAUCAUGCCUGUAGUCUGCUGACAUUCUUUAUAGCUUAGCUUGAUGUGCUUUUUACAUACAAGCUGAAAGGGAGGAAAUUUUCUCCCAGACAAAAUCUGGCAGCAAAUGCCUUUCACAUUCUUGUGUACAAGAACAUGUUAAAAAGCAAUGUACACAUCAUUAUUUUAAUCCUCGUUGCUUUGUGUGCUCAUACUAAAUUAAUUUCAUGUAGACAAGUCUCUGCACAUGUUAAGAAAUGUGGUAUUUGCUAUUUUCUAUACAGGAACAUAAAUUCCGGCCUGGUUUCAUGUAGCAAAGAAGCUCAAAACAUACCCAGAUAGUCUGCUUUGUAGUCAUCUGAUGUUAUGUGGAACUCAGUUUGAUGUGUUCUUUAUACACAGUCUACAGGGAGAAAUAUUUCUCCAAGACAAAAUCCAUCAGCAAAUGCAUUUCCAUGUUCCUGUGUACAAGAGCAUAACUGUAGACAGCUCCAUUUCGUUCUGUUUCCAUGGAAACAUUCUAUUAUUGUAGGAGAUAAUGAACAGAGGUUUUAUAAUUCUGUGCAUAACCUCUCUCUCUAUCCAAACAUAAAAUGCAUUUGAAUGACAGUCUGUCACACUUGAGAUAAAUAUGUCAGCUCUAACCAGAUGGCAGAGUAUGUGAUGAGUUUUUUCCUUCUCAGUUUCUCAUCUGCCAUACAACAACCUAAGCUUUGUUGAACCAACUGUUUUAAAUCUGGGCCUGAUGUUUCUCUCCUCCUCAUACUUCUUACAUUAUUUGUCCUCUCUCUUUGGCUUCUGAUGUUUCUUCCCUUCUCUACUCCAAGAGCAACUGAAUCUUGGUUCCACCAAAUCCUCUGACACCAGGAACUCAUAUUGCCUAUCUGCCAUUGUUUACACACACUUCAACCCACUCACUAUAUUUUCUAUCUUUCCUCGCGGAAGCAUUGUCGAUGUUCACUUCCCAGGGAAAUGUCAGCUCUGGAAUUGCACCACCUUCCUUUUCUUGUAUCACAAGACAAGAGCAGGUCUUCUGGUGACAAAAGUUGGAAGUAAUAUCCACCCUGAAUGUGAACAGGGCCUCCAAACACCCGUCCUAUUUGGUAGCAUUCUUCUUUCUUAUGGUGGCUGGCUUGCACUGUUCAUUUUCUCUGCAAAACUUCAUCUUCUUAUACACCACUACUUGUGGCCUUUUGCCAUUGCUCAGUCACUCUAUGCUCUCUGCAUCAAUCUGUGCUCCGGGUGAUUGGUUAUGCCACCCUGCAUCACUGUCCUCCACACCGAUUGGGCACUUGGAGAAGUUUUUUUUCUUUUUUUUAGUUAGAAACAGAAUGAAAACAUAUACGAUAAUAAUUCAAGUUUUUUUUAGUAAAUCUGCUUGCAGUUGCCGAUACUGGAUGAUACAACCAUAUUGUAUUAUCUAAUACAAAAACUGUCAAGGCUACAAGCAGAUAUGGAAGGACAUAUACAUACAUAUAUAUAUAUAUAUAUAUAUAUAUAUAUAUAUAUAUAUAUAUAUAUAUAUAUAUAUAUAUAUAUAUAUAUAUAUACAUAUAUAUAUGUAUAACAAAGUAAACUUGCAAGGUUAUAUAUAUGACAUGUACGUGUGUGUGUAUAUAUAUGACAUGUAUGUGUAAAUGUAUAUACCCAUAUAAGGUAUGCAUAUGCAAUGCCAGAUUUAGAUGAAGUAUAGACCCAAGGUAUUACUCCCCUCCCACCGUCACCACUAGCAAAAGUAUGGAAGAUUAUCUUAAAACUGAAUAAAGCCAAUGAUUAUGGGUGGGUGAAAUUCAACACUUCACAAUUUGUCCUCUGAAUGGCAUAAAAUGUUUAAAUACUGGAGUGAUUGCGAGGGUGGUGGGAACGACUAAAUGUUGAAAUUAAUUUUGUAAAUCUUUCACAACAACUGAACUCUGUAAAAACCUUGUGGAAUAAGCAGGAAUUUUUAAGAAAAUACUUUUAAAAAAUUUUUCCUGUUACACUCUUUAAAGAACUCUUGUGCAGAUACAUUUUAUUUUGUGGGCAGUGUCAGUAAGAUGGUCACAACAAACUGACAUUGAUUGUAUGACACUUUUGAGGUCCUGAUAUGUGUUGGUAAAUGGUUUUAAAAUAAACUACAAUCAAAAACUAAAA